rnacentral:pre_miRNA from 7 species
AGGCGUCCUUCGCACCGCCCGCUCUCCUCGCCACGUGGUGGCCGUGCGAGGGCCUCGGGGUAGCAC